CAGCGUACCAUUGGGUGUUUUAUUGCCCUUCAUUCCGGGCGCCUUUGAUUAAAACUCACACGAGCGCUAUAAAUUUUACUGCUACUCGUGUUGCACGUGCUCGAAAAAUGCUACACGAUUUUUUAACUUAUUCAGAGGGUUCGUGACAGUUUACAAGCGAAUAUUGUCUGUGUUAAAAUAGAGUAGGAGGUAGUUUUUUGUACGGGCACAGUAUUCACCCUUCUGUAUCUGAUGAUAAGCGAAGUGGGGUACAGAUAGUUUCAACUGACGAGAUGUUUAUCGUCUUGAUGUAACUUGACUCUUAAAAGUGAACAAUUGUGACCUUCCUAGUUUCUAUCAAUAAAUAGCCCUCAAUGUGUGCCAAAAGAACUUCAAAGCCAUAGUAACACAAAUCUAUUUCAACUUCAAUGUUCUCUUUGGUGAGGACGACGGUGCGCGUGUCAAAGGCCAAAGCGGACUAUGCAAAUACACGCUGAAUCAAGUCAAACCAUAGGGGUACAGUCGGACACAAGAACAGAUGGACAAAUUGCACCCUUCUCAUGUCAAAUAAUACUUACUUGUAACAUUGAGUUGUAUUUAAUGAAUGUAAUGAACUGUUUGAUAUAGA